rnacentral:rRNA from 1 species
UACGUAGGCAGCGAGCGUUGUUCGGAAUUACUGGGCGUAAAGCGUGCGCAGGCGGUUUUGUAAGUCUGACGUGAAAUCCCCGGGCUUAACCUGGGAAUUGCGUUGGAGACUGCAAGGCUGGAGUCUGGCAGAGGGGGGUAGAAUUCCACGUGUAGCAGUGAAAUGCGUAGAGAUGUGGAGGAACACCGAUGGCGAAGGCAGCCCCCUGGGUCAAGACUGACGCUCAUGCACGAAAGCGUGGGGAGCAAACAGG